GAUGAACGCUGGCGGCGUGCUUAACACAUGCAAGUCGAACGGUGAACCCGGAGCUUGCUCUGUGGGAUCAGUGGCGAACGGGUGAGUAACACGUGAGCAACCUGCCCCUGACUCUGGGAUAAGCGCUGGAAACGGCGUCUAAUACUGGAUAUGUGACGUGACCGCAUGGUCUGCGUUUGGAAAGAUUUUUCGGUUGGGGAUGGGCUCGCGGCCUAUCAGCUUGUUGGUGAGGUAAUGGCUCACCAAGGCGUCGACGGGUAGCCGGCCUGAGAGGGUGACCGGCGACACUGGGACUGAGACACGGCCCAGACUCCUACGGGAGGCAGCGGUGGGGAAUAUUGCACAGUGGGCGCAAGCCUGAUGCAGCAGCGCCGCGUGAGGGAUGACGGCCUUCGGGUUGUAAACCUCUUUUAGCAGGGAAGAAGCGAAAGUGACGGUACCUGCAGAAAAAGCGCCGGCUAACUACGUG
rnacentral:rRNA from 1 species